UUUGAGAGAGGUCCAAGUCAGAGAUUUUUUCUUUUAUUUAUUUAUUAAAAAAAAAAAAAUUCGUUUUUUUUCGUUUUUUUUGCAUUUAUAUUUUCCGAUUUUUUUUUGUUUUUUUUUUGUUUUUUUCGUUUUUCGUUUUUUUUUUGCAUAACACGUGGGCUUCGCCUAGCGAGCAUGGCAGCUCAUGAACAAACCUUUGCUCCUUCAAGAUUGACGAAUAGACCCCUGUUGGAAGUAACUGAAGUCUUUCCCUUGUGUUGAUUGAUCAUCUAAAUAGAACCCACAAAGUGUCCUGGAUGAUGUUCAAGCUUCUUGGAGCUAAUCCCGAUUGACAUGAUGAAAU
rnacentral:lncRNA from 1 species